rnacentral:ncRNA from 1 species
GAAUUUUGGUUACGGUAGAAGGGAGCUUGACUGCAAGACCCACCGUCUGGUAGGGACGAAAGUCGGCCUUAGUGAUCCGACGGUGCCGAGUGGAAGGGCCGUCGCUCAAC